GAAUCUGUCAUUUGGUUUGGACAACAUUGGGAAACCGAUGCUAAUACCGGAUGUGCCGAGAGGUGAAAGAGAAAUUGCCAGAUGGUGAGCUCGCGUCAGAUUAGCUAGUUGGUGGGGUAAAGGCCUACCAAGGCGACGAUCUGUAGCUGGUCUGAGAGGACGAUCAGCCACACUGGGACUGAGACACGGCCCAGACUCCUACGGGAGGCAGCAGUGGGGAAUUUUCCGCAAUGGGCGAAAGCCUGACGGAGCAAUACCGCGUGAGGGAGGAAGGCUCUUGGGUUGUAAACCUCUUUUCUCAAGGAAUAACGCAAUGAAGGUACUUGAGGAAUAAGCAUCGGCUAACUCCGUGCCAGCAGCCGCGGUUAAUACGGAGGAUGCAAGCGUUAUCCGGAAUGAUUGGGCGUAAAGGGUCCGCAGGUGGCAUUGUAAGUCUGCUGUCAAAGAAUGAGGCUUAACCUCAUCAAGGCAGUGGAAACUACAAAGCUAGAGUACGGUCGGGGUAGAAGGAAUUCCUGGUGUAGCGGUGAAAUGCGUAGAGAUCAGGAAGAACACCGGUGGCGAAAGCGUUCUGCUAGGCCUGUACUGACACUGAGGGACGAAAGCUAGGGGAGCG
rnacentral:rRNA from 1 species